rnacentral:tRNA from 1 species
GGCGAAUGUGGUACAGUGGUUAACACACCAGAUUGUGGCUCUGGCAUGCGUGGGUUCGAUUCCCAUCAUUCGCCU